CUCCUGAUGCUCCAUCAGCUAAGACGCUGCACUCCCAGUGCAGAGGGCCCAGGUUCGUUUCCUGGUCAGGGAA
rnacentral:tRNA from 1 species